rnacentral:rRNA from 1 species
ACUCAAAGGAAUUGACGGGGGCCCGCACAAGCGGCGGAGCAUGUUGCUUAAUUCGACGCAACGCGAAGAACCUUACCAAGGUUUGACAUGGACGGAAAUCUCGCAGAGAUGCGGGGUCCUUCGGGGCCGUUCACAGGUGGUGCAUGGCUGUCGUCAGCUCGUGUCGUGAGAUGUUGGGUUAAGUCCCGCAACGAGCGCAACCCUCGUCCCAUGUUGCCAGCGGGUUAUGCCGGGGACUCAUGGGAGACUGCCGGGGUCAACUCGGAGGAAGGUGGGGAUGACGUCAAGUCAUCAUGCCCCUUAUGUCUUGGGCUGCAAACAUGCUACAAUGGCCGGUACAAAGCGCUGCGACAUCGUGAGAUGAAGCGAAUCGCAUAAAGCCGGUCUCAGUUCGGAUCGGGGUCUGCAACUCGGCCCCGUGAAGCCGGAGUCGCUAGUAAUCGCAGAUCAGCAACGCUGCGGUGAAUACGUUCCCGGGCCUUGUACACACCGCCCGU